UACGGGGGGGGUAAGCGUUGUUCGGAAUUACUGGGCGUAAAGGGCUCGUAGGUGGCCAACUAAGUCAUACGUGAAAUCCCUCAGCUUAACUGGGGAACUGCGCCUGAUACUGGUUGGCUUGAGUUUGGGAGAGGGACGCGGAAUUCCAGGUGUAGCGGUGAAAUGCGUAGAUAUCUGGAGGAACACCGGUGGCGAAGGCGGCGUCCUGGACCAAUACUGACACUGAGGAGCGAAAGCCAGGGGAGCAAACGGG
rnacentral:rRNA from 1 species